GAACUCCGACCGGAGACGGAAGGAGUGCUUUUAUUAGAUCAAAACCAAUCGGUGGCGGGUUCGCUCGUCAUCGUACAACUUGGUGACUCUGAAUAACUUUAUGCUGAUCGCACGGUCUCGCACCGGCGACGCAUCUUUCAAAUGUCUGCCUUAUCAACUGUCGAUGGUAGGUUCUGCGCCUACCAUGGUUGUAACGGGUAACGGGGAAUCAGGGUUCGAUUCCGGAGAGGGAGCCUGAGAAACGGCUACCACAUCCAAGGAAGGCAGCAGGCGCGCAAAUUACCCACUCCCGGCACGGGGAGGUAGUGACGAAAAAUAACGAUACGGGACUCAUCCGAGGCCCCGUAAUCGGAAUGAGUACACUCUAAACCCUUUAACGAGGAUCAAUUGGAGGGCAAGUCUGGUGCCAGCAGCCGCGGUAAUUCCAGCUCCAAUAGCGUAUAUUAAAGUUGUUGCGGUUAAAAAGCUCGUAGUCGAAUCUGUGUCUUGCGCCGCCGGUUCAUCGUUCGCGGUGUUAACUGGCGUGUCGCAGGACGUCCUGCCGGUGGGCUUAGCUCGCAAGGGCGGCCCAACUCAAUCCUGCCGCGGUGCUCUUCACUGAGUGUCGAGGUGGGCCGGCACGUUUACUUUGAACAAAUUAGAGUGCUUAAAGCAGGCUAAAACUUCGCCUGAAUACUGUGUGCAUGGAAUAAUGGAAUAGGACCUCGGUUCUAUUUUGUUGGUUUUCGGAACCCCGAGGUAAUGAUUAAUAGGAACGGAUGGGGGCAUUCGUAUUGCGACGUUAGAGGUGAAAUUCUUGGAUCGUCGCAAGACGGACAGAAGCGAAAGCAUUUGCCAAAAACGCUUUCAUUGAUCAAGAACGAAAGUUAGAGGUUCGAAGGCGAUCAGAUACCGCCCUAGUUCUAACCAUAAACGAUGCCAGCUAGCGAUCCGUCGACGUUCCUCCGAUGACUCGACGGGCAGCUUCCGGGAAACCAAAGCUUUUGGGUUCCGGGGGAAGUAUGGUUGCAAAGCUGAAACUUAAAGGAAUUGACGGAAGGGCACCACCAGGAGUGGAGCCUGCGGCUUAAUUUGACUCAACACGGGAAACCUCACCAGGCCCGGACACCGGAAGGAUUGACAGAUUGAGAGCUCUUUCUUGAUUCGGUGGGUGGUGGUGCAUGGCCGUUCUUAGUUGGUGGAGCGAUUUGUCUGGUUAAUUCCGAUAACGAACGAGACUCUAGCCUGCUAACUAGGCGUAUUUUGACAUCGCAAAGGCCCGCCGGUAUCGGGGUUCGCUCCUUUAUCGUGCGCGGUUUUUACUGUCGGCGUACAAACAAUUCUUCUUAGAGGGACAGGCGGCUUCUAGCCGCACGAGAUUGAGCAAUAACAGGUCUGUGAUGCCCUUAGAUGUUCUGGGCCGCACGCGCGCUACACUGAAGGAAUCAGCGUGUCCUCCCUGGCCGAGUGGCCCGGGUAACCCGCUGAACCU
rnacentral:rRNA from 1 species